AACGAACGCUGGCGGCAGGCUUAACACAUGCAAGUCGAGCGCCCCGCAAGGGGAGCGGCAGACGGGUGAGUAACGCGUGGGAAUCUACCCAUCACUACGGAACAACUCCGGGAAACUGGAGCUAAUACCGUAUCCGUCCUUCGGGAGAAAGAUUUAUCGGUGAUGGAUGAGCCCGCGUUGGAUUAGCUAGUUGGUGGGGUAAUGGCCCACCAAGGCGACGAUCCAUAGCUGGUCUGAGAGGAUGAUCAGCCACACUGGGACUGAGACACGGCCCAGACUCCUACGGGAGGCAGCAGUGGGGAAUAUUGGACAAUGGGCGAAAGCCUGAUCCAGCCAUGCCGCGUGAGUGAUGACGGCCCUAGGGUUGUAAAGCUCUUUCGCAGGUGAAGAUAAUGACGGUAACCUGAGAAGAAGCCCCGGCUAACUUCGUGCCAGCCGCCGCGGUAACAC
rnacentral:rRNA from 1 species